UAAGAAAGGGAAGCAACCUGAAAGUAGAAGUGAGGCUGUCAAGAAUAGCAGAUUUCCACUUUGUCCAACUUGUAAAAAAACAAAUCAUCUGGAGAAGGAUUGUUGGCGGAAGAAUGGCAUAAAACCCAUCCAAUAUCACUAUUGCAAAAAAUAUGGCCACAUUUCAAGAGAUUGCAGAAUCAAGCAAAGUAAAGCUCAAAAACAACAACAGGGCCAGCAAGCAAAUUUUACUGAUGAUCAACCAAAGCAGCAAGAAGAUCAUUUGUUCAUGGUUUCUCAAUCAUGUAGAGCUAUUGACAAGUUUAUUUGGUUCAUUGAUAGUCGCUGUACAAGUCACAUGGCUAGAGAUGAAAGCUUAUUUACCUUCUUAGACAGAUCAGUGAAAGCAAGUGUGAAGAUGGGAAAUGGAGAGAUGGUUCAGGCUAUGGGCAAGGGUACUGUUGCUAUGCAAACAAAGAAAGGUACUAAGCAUAUUUCUGAUGUUCUCUACAUUCCUAGCUUAGAUCAAAAUUUAUUGAGUGUUGCUCAGAUGAUGAAAAAAGGUUAUUCUUUGUCUUUCAAAGAUUGUUGGUGUCGUAUUUAUGAUUCCAAUAAUUCUAAAGUAAUGGAGGUUAAAAUGGUUGAUAAUAGCUUUCCUCUAAUGUCUGGCAAUGGUACUGAUCAUGUAUUUACAGCUGCAUCAAAUGAUUCUUGGCUAUGGCACAAAAGACAUGGGCAUUAUAACUUGAAUUCUUUGAAGUUUAUGCAAUCUCAUGAUAUGAUUAAAGACAUGCCUGUUAUUUCUAAUUGUGAUGAGGUAUGUUCUAGUUGUCAAUUUGGAAAAUUGCAAAAACAAUCAUUUCCUAAGAAUCAAGUUAGGGGAGCUACUGAGAAAUUAGAAAUUGUACACACUGAUGUAUGUGGCUUUAUGAGUGUGCUUUCUUUGAGCCAAAAUAAGUACUUUGUGUUGUUUAUAUAUGACUUGACUAGAAUGACUUGGGUGUAUUUUCUAAGUAGCAAGGGUCAAGUUUUUAGUGUUUUUAAGAAAUUUAAAGCUUUGGUCGAGAAUCAAAGUGGCUAUGUUAUUAAAAAUUUGAGGUCUGAUAAUGGGAAGGAG
rnacentral:misc_RNA from 1 species